AAAGUCGUAACAAGGUUUCCGUAGGUGAACCUGCGGAAGGAUCAUCACAGGGUCUGAGAGGUUGCACACCGUGAAUGGUAUGGAGGGCUGCGGGGUGGGUUGGCGGGGUAGAGGGGGGGUGAGAGGAGCGUGACACGCGAGCGUGACACGCGACGCUUGCCACCGCCCGCCAGCACGCCCAGUGGCCGCAUUCGUGUACACUACACUAUGCAAAGCACACAAAAGCAAACUAAGUAAUAACACAACUUUCAACAAUGGAUCUCUUGGCUCUC
rnacentral:misc_RNA from 1 species